UAAAACACAUUUGUCAAAUUUAAGGCCCGGGGGCCAAAGCCGGCCCCUUGCAGAAUUUGAUCAGGCCUGCAUAUCAAUUUAGAUUCACAAUAAAUUUCGGCCCACCUAGUAUUUGUCGCUUUUUCUGAAGAUU